AAAUUGGUGACAAAAACGAAAUAUUACUUUCUGCUGGAAAACUUCAAAAACACUUUGCUAGCUUAUUUGGUGAGAUGGGCUCCGAUUAUGAAGGCUUCAAAGAUGUGGUUCACAACUUUCCUUAUAAAAUGUACGUGGAGGAGGGGAACUUAGAGUUCAGAUUCGAAGCUGUAAUAGAAGGAGAAAAAAUUACUAUAAAAAUUCAUGAUUCUGAUUUAUCUAUGCACGAUGCAGUUGAACAGG